ACUUCGGUCUGGUGGCGAGUGGCGAACGGGUGAGUAAUGUAUCGGAACGUGCCCAGUAGCGGGGGAUAACUACGCGAAAGCGUAGCUAAUACCGCAUACGCCCUACGGGGGAAAGCAGGGGAUCGUAAGACCUUGCACUAUUGGAGCGGCCGAUAUCGGAUUAGCUAGUUGGUGGGGUAACGGCUCACCAAGGCGACGAUCCGUAGCUGGUUUGAGAGGACGACCAGCCACACUGGGACUGAGACACGGCCCAGACUCCUACGGGAGGCAGCAGUGGGGAAUUUUGGACAAUGGGGGAAACCCUGAUCCAGCCAUCCCGCGUGUGCGAUGAAGGCCUUCGGGUUGUAAAGCACUUUUGGCAGGAAAGAAACGUCAUGGGUUAAUACCCCGUGAAACUGACGGUACCUGCAGAAUAAGCACCGGCUAACUACGUGCCAGCAGCCGCGGUAAUACGUAGGGUGCAAGCGUUAAUCGGAAUUACUGGGCGUAAAGCGUGCGCAGGCGGUUCGGAAAGAAAGAUGUGAAAUCCCAGAGCUUAACUUUGGAACUGCAUUUUUAACUACCGGGCUAGAGUGUGUCAGAGGGAGGUGGAAUUCCGCGUGUAGCAGUGAAAUGCGUAGAUAUGCGGAGGAACACCGAUGGCGAAGGCAGCCUCCUGGGAUAACACUGACGCUCAUGCACGAAAGCGUG
rnacentral:rRNA from 1 species